rnacentral:rRNA from 1 species
CCCUUAGAUGUUCUGGGCCGCACGCGUGCUACACUGAGUGGAUCAGCGGGUCAGGUUACGCGAGAGCGUUUCCUAAUCUUCAAAUCCGCUCGUGAUGGGGAUUGACGGUUGCAAUUUUCCGUCAUGAACGAGGAAUACCUUGUAAGCGCGGGUCAUCAUCCCGCGCUGAAUACGUCCCUGCCCUUUGUACACACCGCCCGUCGCUCCUACCGAUUGAGUGGUCCGGUGAGGCUUUGGGAUCUAAGCGAAAAGAGCGUUUCGCUCCUUUUGCUGGGAGAACUCAGUCGAACCUUAUCAUUUAGAGGAAGGAGAAGUCGUAACA